rnacentral:rRNA from 1 species
UACGGAGGAUGCGAGCGUUAUCCGGAUUUAUUGGGUUUAAAGGGUGCGCAGGCGGUCUGUUAAGUCAGCGGUCAAAGCCCGGGGCUCAACCCCGGCCCGCCGUUGAAACUGGCAGUCUCGAGUUGGAGAGAAGUAUGCGGAAUGCGCGGUGUAGCGGUGAAAUGCAUAGAUAUCGCGCAGAACUCCGAUUGCGAAGGCAGCAUGCCGGCUCCACACUGACGCUGAGGCACGAAGCGUGGGUAUCGAACAGGA